rnacentral:rRNA from 1 species
UAGAAUUGACGGGACCCGCACAAGCGGUGGAUGAUGUGGUUUAAUUCGAUGCAACGCGAAAACCUUACCACCUUUGACAUGGCAGGAAUCCCGAAGAGAUUUGGGAGUGCUCGAAAGAGAACCUGCACACAGGUGCUGCAUGGCUGUCGUCAGCUCGUGUCGUGAGAUGUUGGGUUAAGUCCCGCAACGAGCGCAACCCUUGUCAUUAGUUGCUACAUUCAGUUGGGCACUCUAAUGAGACUGCCGGUGACAAGCCGGAGGAAGGUGGGGAUGACGUCAAGUCCUCAUGGCCCUUAUAGGUGGGGCUACACACGUCAUACAAUGGCUGGUACAAAGGGUUGCCAACCCGCGAGGGGGAGCCAAUCCCAUAAAGCCAGUCGUAGUCCGGAUCGUAGUCUGCAACUCGACUACGUGAAGUCGGAAUCGCUAGUAAUCGUGGAUCAGAAUGUCACGGUGAAUACGUUCCCGGGUCUU